AGAUCGAUGGGGCUGCACAGAGGUGGCACAGUUGUGCCAGAGGGCCAGACUUUGGCAGCGUGUAAGGUCUGAGGACAGGGGCACCGGAGGCCGAGGAUGAGAGGCCAGUGCCUGUUUCCAGGCAGCCAGGGCCUCAGAAACUCCGGCCGGAGCACUCACCCGUCGGUGGAGGCCGUUACCAGGGCCACCUUAUUCGCGAGCGGGUCCCGGCGGGUCAUCCCGGAGCUGGCCAUCCGCACCGAAUUCCAAGCCCGGGCACAGAGGCCUAGCAGCCCCGUCUUGUGCAUGGCUCAGACCAGCAAGUGCCACUUCGGAUAAACCCUUUGGACUCCUAACUCCAAUCAGGUGUCUGCUUUGUUGAGGACUCACAGACACAGUCUCCUUUCUUCAAGAUCUUUACAAUGCAAGACCUCACUAACACACAGGGGAUGGUCUCCCAGAGGGUCUGUGCUGUUCCUUCACUCAGAACAUCAAGAUGCACUUAAGUAAGGAUCCUCUGUUCUACGGUUCCUGCUAGCUGAGCUAUUCCAUGGGGGCUUCAGCAGGAAAUUCCAAGGUUGGCUUUGACAAGCUAAGGCCGGCUGGUGGAGCACAUCGAGUUCUGGAGGUUCAUGUGUGUUUUCAUGAAGAUCUGUCUGCCAGUAGCAGAUAAAGAGUUGUUGCCCCACUCCUCCUGGGGUCUUCUAUUUUCCUGGGAGGAAUUUCUGGAUUAACUGAACGCACACACACACACACACACACCCCUUUGAAGCAUCAACAGUAAUUCUGAGUUCUUAGGGACAAUGCAGAUUAAAUCCACAAUAAGAAAGACAACUAUGGCCAGGUGCGGUGGCUCACGCCUGUAAUCCCAGAACUUUGGGAGGCUGAGGCGGAUGGAUCACCUGAGGUCAGGAGUUAGAGACCAACCUGACCAACAUGGAGAAACCCCGUUUCUACUAAAAAUACAAAAUUAGCCGGGCAUGGUGGCAGGCGCCUGUAAUCCCAACUACUCAGGAGGCUGAGGCAGGAGAAUCGCUUAAACCCGGGAGGCAGAGGUUGCAGUGAGCCAAGAUCGCGCCAUUGCACUCCAGCCUGGGCAAGAAGAGCAAAACUCCAUCUCAAAAAAAAAAAAAAAAAAAGAGUACUAUUGAUCCAGAGGUGACCAGACUAGCCUCACUGGAGAUAAUAGGUGACAUUAUUAUGCAAAGUGGUUUCAGUUCCCUUGUCUUGUUUUUGGAAUAGUAUAAGAGGCCUACAAUACGAAUAAAUAAGGCCCAUCACAAGCCUCACCAAAGGACAAAACUAAUCCACUUCUGAAGAAGGCUCUUUGUUGGGCCAGAUCAAAUCCUUGGACAGAACUGUACUCUUAAUCUCUGUAGUGAAAGUGGGGGAUAGUUUAAGAAUUUAUUAACCUUCUACCUUGAGCAAUCCCUCAGAAGUAAGAGGUGUCAGGCCUCUGAGCCGAAGCUCAGCCAUUGUAAUCCCUGUGACCUGCACAUAUAUGUCCAGAUGGCCUGCAGAAGCCAAGAAGUCUGGGGCAGCUGAAAAACCACACAAGAAGUAAAACAGCCAGUUCCUGCCUUAACUGAUUAACCAACAUUACAACAUUCCACCAUUGUGACCUGUCCCUGUCCUACCUUAACUGAUCAAUCGACCUUGUGACAGUCUUCUUCUGGACAAUGGGUUUUAUCAUCUCCCCACCAUGUACCUUGUGACCCCCUCCUCUGCUAACAAUAGAUAACCACCUUUUACUGUAAUUUUCCAUUACCUACCCAACUCCUAUAAAGCAACCCCUUCCCCAUCUCCCUUCACUGACUCUGUUUUCAGACUCAGCCCACUUGCACUCAAGUGAAUAAACAGCCUUGUUGCUCACACAAA
rnacentral:antisense_RNA from 1 species